GAUGAACGCUGGCGGCGUGCCUAAUACAUGCAAGUCGAACGCUGGAAAUCUAGCUUGCUAGAUUGAAGGAGUGGCGAACGGGUGAGUAAUACAUAAGCAACCUACCCACGAAGACUGGGAUAAUCUCUGGAAACGGGGACUAAUACCGGAUAGGUAAUCGGAAGGCAUCUUCUGAUUAUUAAAGGUUAAAAACACUGGUGGAUGGGCUUAUGGCGCAUUAGUUAGUUGGUGAGGUAACGGCCCACCAAGACGAUGAUGCGUAGCCGGCCUGAGAGGGUGAACGGCCACAGUGGGACUGAGACACGGCCCAGACUCCUACGGGAGGCAGCAGUAGGGAAGUUUCGGCAAUGGGGGAAACCCUGACCGAGCAACGCCGCGUGAGUGAUGACGGCCUUCGGGUUGUAAAGCUCUGUUGUAAGGGAAGAACGGUAGAUAGAGAAUAUCUAAAUGACGGUACCUUACCAGAAAGCCACGGCUAACUACGUG
rnacentral:rRNA from 1 species